UUCCGGUUGAUCCUGCCGGACCUGACUGCUAUCGGAUUGAUACUAAGCCAUGCGUGUCAUUGUAGCAAUACAAGGCAUACGGCUCAGUAACGCGUAGUCAACCUACCCUAUGGACGGAAAUAACCUCGGGAAACUGAGAAUAAUAUCCGAUAGAACAUUAUGCCUGGAAUGGUUUAUGUUCCAAAUGAUUUAUCGCCGUAGGAUGGGACUGCGGCCUAUCAGUUUGUUGGUGAGGUAAUGGCCCACCAGGACUAUUACAGGUACGGGCUCUGAGAGGAGUAGCCCGGAGAUGGGUACUGAGACACGGACCUAGGCCCUAUGGGGCGCAGCAGGCGAGAAAACUUUGCAAUGUGCGAAAGCACGACAAGGUUAAUCCGAGUGAUUUCUGCUAAAGAAAUCUUUUGUUAGUCCUAGAAACACUAACGAAUAAGGGGUGGGCAAGUUCUGGUGUCAGCCGCCGCGGUAAAACCAGCACCUCAAGUGGUCAGGAUGAUUAUUGGGCCUAAAGCAUCCGUAGCCGGCUCUGUAAGUCCUCGGUUAAAUCUGUACGCUUAACGUACAGGCUGCCGGGAAUACUGCAUAGCUAGGGAGUGGGAGAGGUAGACGGUACUCGGUAGGAAGGGGUAAAAUCCUUUGAUCUAUUGAUGACCACCUGUGGCGAGGGCGGUCUACCAGAACACGUCCGACGGUGAGGGAUGAAAGCUGGGGGAGCAAACCGGAUUAGAUACCCGGGUAGUCCCAGCUGUAAACUAUGCAAACUCAGUGAUGCAUUGGCUUGUGGCCAAUGCAGUGCUGCAGGGAAGCCGUUAAGUUUGCCGCCUGGGAAGUACGUACGCAAGUAUGAAACUUAAAGGAAUUGGCGGGGGAGCACCACAA
rnacentral:rRNA from 2 species